rnacentral:rRNA from 1 species
GAUGAACGCUGGCGGCGUGCCUAACACAUGCAAGUCGAGCGAUUCUCUUCGGAGAAGAGCGGCGGACGGGUGAGUAACGCGUGGGUAACCUGCCUUGUACACACGGAUAACAUACCGAAAGGUAUGCUAAUACGAGAUAAUAUACUUUUAUCGCAUGGUAGAAGUAUCAAAGCUUUUGCGGUACAGGAUGGACCCGCGUCUGAUUAGCUAGUUGGUAAGGUAACGGCUUACCAAGGCGACGAUCAGUAGCCGACCUGAGAGGGUGAUCGGCCACAUUGGAACUGAGACACGGUCCAAACUCCUACGGGAGGCAGCAGUGGGGAAUAUUGCACAAUGGGCGAAAGCCUGAUCCAGCCAUGCCGCGUGAGUGAUGACGGCCUUCGGGUUGUAAAGCUCUUUUGUCCGGGAAGAUAAUGACUGUACCGGAAGAAUAAGCCCCGGCAAACUUCGUGCCAGCCGCCGCAGUAACAC